CCCUUAGAUGUUCUGGGCUGCACGCGCGCUACACUGAUGCAUGCAACGAGUUUUCGACCUUGCCUGAAAAGGUUGGGUAAUCUGUUUAACAUGUGUCGUGAUGGGGAUAGACCAUUGCAAUUAUUGAUCUUCAACGAGGAAUUCCUAGUAAGCGCGAGUCAUCAGCUCGCGUUGAUUACGUCCCUGCCCUUUGUACACACCGCCCGUCGCUACUACCGAUUGAAUGGUUUAGUGAGGACUCCUGAUUGGCGCCGCCGCCCCGGCAACGGAGCAGCGGACUGCCGAAAAGUUGUUCAAACUUGAUCAUUUAGAGGAAGUAAAAGUCGUAACA
rnacentral:rRNA from 1 species